CUUUUCUGGGUCCCACAUAAACUACGCCAGAAAGAGAUUCUGUUGAAUCAAACCACAAUUGGGGUAUAUAAACACCUGGACGAUGGACACACCUAUGUACAUCUUACACUUAGCCAAUUCCACCUUUGACCAUCGGCUGUGGAUUGGGGGAGGGUGCACGUUGAUCAGGCACCUCUAUAACCAAGGGAGGUUGUUACACUUCCCAGACCUGCAGCAGAG